AGUUGUACGAGUUGAGACUCGUAGCAGAUAGCUCAGUAACACGUGGCCAAACUACCCUAUGGAUCCAGACAACCUCGGGAAACUGAGGCUAAUCUGGAAUAGGGCUCUCAUCCUGGAGUGGAGAGAGCCUGAAAUGCUCCGGCGCCAUAGGAUGUGGCUGCGGCCGAUUAGGUAGACGGUGGGGUAACGGCCCACCGUGCCAGUAAUCGGUACGGGUUGUGAGAGCAAGAGCCCGGAGACGGUAUCUGAGACAAGAUACCGGGCCCUACGGGGCGCAGCAGGCGCGAAACCUUUACACUGCACGCCAGUGCGAUAAGGGGACUCCAAGUGCGAGGGCAUAUAGUCCUCGCUUUUUGCGACCGUAAGGUGGUCGCGGAAUAAGUGCUGGGCAAGACCGGUGCCAGCCGCCGCGGUAAUACCGGCAGCACGAGUGAUGACCGCUGUUAUUGGGCCUAAAGCGUCCGUAGCUGGCCGCGCAAGUCUAUCGGGAAAUCUCUCCGCUUAACGGAGAGGCGUCCGGUGGAAACUGUGUGGCUUGGGACCGGAAGACCAGAGGGGUACGUCUGGGGUAGGAGUGAAAUCCCGUAAUCCUGGACGGACCACCGGUGGCGAAAGCGCCUCUGGAAGACGGAUCCGACGGUGAGGGACGAAAGCUCGGGUCACGAACCGGAUUAGAUACCCGGGUAGUCCGAGCUGUAAACGAUGUCUGCUAGGUGUGACACAGGCUACGAGCCUGUGUUGUGCCGUAGGGAAGCCGUGAAGCAGACCG
rnacentral:rRNA from 1 species